ACCCCUUUUAAACGACUCCUAAUCCACGUAAACCAAAGAAAAAGGUUCGGGAGUCACAUUUGACAAAGGGGAAGGCAAGGAUAAAAUCCAAGGCACCCCUUUGACCUAGCCAAGGCUAGUUGCAUGAUUUAAUCAAAGAUUUUCUUGUUUUAACCAAAGAAUUUAUUACAUUUGGAUGCACUAUAUGAAUGCAAACCCUAGACCUAGGGGUAUUGGGGGAAAUUUCUCUUCAAAGGUUGAGUGGUGCCAAUCACAUUAAUUGUGAAGCCCAAUAACGAUCCUUUGAAGAAGUCAC
rnacentral:lncRNA from 1 species